rnacentral:rRNA from 1 species
CAGUCGCCACGGUAAUACGGAGGGUGCAAGCGUUAAUCGGAAUUACUGGGCGUAAAGCGCACGCAGGCGGUCUGUCAAGUCAGAUGUGAAAUCCCCGGGCUUAACCUGGGAACUGCAUUUGAAACUGGCAGGCUAGAGUCUUGUAGAGGGGGGUAGAAUUCCAGGUGUAGCGGUGAAAUGCGUAGAGAUCUGGAGGAAUACCGGUGGCGAAGGCGGCCCCCUGGCCUAAUACUGACGCUGAGGUACGAAAGCAUGGGGAGCAAACAGGAUUAGAUACCCCUGUAGUCCCUGUCUCUUAUAC